CAUCCUGACAGUUUGUACCCAGGGAAGAGUGCACUAAGGAAGAAAUUCUCUACAGUGAGGCUGUUGAGGCACUGGGAACAAGUUGCCCGGAGGAGCUGUGGAUGCCUAAGGAAGGGUUUGCAUCUGCCCCUGCUCUCUCCACUUCCCUUCUUAGUCAUGACAUGGGGGCCUGAAGCAACUCCAGACUGAGGACAAGAUCUGACUGCCUACAGCCUUACCAAGCAGUUUUCUCUGGACACUUCCAAUGUUCUCUUACCCACAAAGUCUUUGUCUCCCAUCCAGAAGAGCUCUAAUUCCUCCAAGCUCAGGAAGAAGCUGCUGCCUGUCUGAAGAGUGUCACAAGAAUAGGAUUUAUGUGUUCGGCUUCAUAGUUAGAGAUGGAUUUAUAUUCUGAUAUUUAGAUGUCAUUUUGAAUAAAGGUUUUGAUUGUAUCUUUCAA